rnacentral:rRNA from 1 species
ACCCCUAAUGCCUCGCUACGGCGAGUGAGCGGCAAAAGCUCAAAUUUGAAAUCCUUCGGGAGUUGUAAUUUGUAGGUUGGGAGACCCCGCGGCUAGUGGCACCAAGUCCCUUGGAACAGGGCGCCUUGAGGGUGAGAGCCCCGUAGGUACCACAACACCGUCUUGUGUCUCCUCUCCAAAGAGUCGAGUUGUUUGGGAAUGCAGCUCAAAGUGGGUGGUAAAUUCCAUCUAAAGCUAAAUACCGGCGAGAGACCAUAGCGAACAAGUACAGUGAUGGAAAGAUGAAAAGCACUUUGAAAAGAGAGUGAAACAGUACGUGAAAUUGUUGAAAGGGAAGGGCUUGCAAGCAGACACGGCCUUCGUGCCGGGCCAGCAUCGGUUCUAGGGGUGGAUAAGGAACAAGGAAUGUAGCUCCUCGGAGUAUUAUAGCCUUGCGCGAUACACCCACUGGCGACCGAGGCCUGCGGUAUUCCUACCUAGGAUGCUGGCGUAAUGGUUGCAAGCCGCCGUCUUGAAAACAAGGGGAACCCCCAGGCCCCCUUUUUAAAAAACAGGCACACAAUUGGUUUUUUUUUUAAAAACAAAAAAAAAUUU